CNAACACAUGCAAGUCGGAUGUGCCGCAAGGUGCAUGGCAGACGGGUGAGUAACGCGUGGGGAAUCUACCUUUUUGUGGGGAAUAACGCUCCGAAAGGAGUGGUAAUACCGCAUGAGACCUUCGACUGGGAUGUCGGAGGUGAAACCUGGGGACCGCAAGGCCUGGGGCAAAAAGAGGAUCCUGCGUCUGAUUAGCUAGUUGGCGGGGUAAUGGCCCACCAAGGCGACGAUCAGUAGCCGGCCUGAGAGGGUGAUCGGCCACACUGGAACUGAGACACGGUCCAGACUCCUACGGGAGGCAGCAGUGGGGAAUUUUGCGCAAUGGACGAGAGUCUGACGCAGCAACGCCGCGUGGGUGAUGAAGGUCUUCGGACUGUAAAACCCUGUCGUCAGGGACGAAGGCAGCAGCGUUAAUAGCGUUGUUGCUUGACGGUACCUGGAGAGGAAGCCCCGGCUAACUCUGUGCCAGCAGCCGCGGUAAUACAGAGGGGGCAAGCGUUAUUCGGAAUUAUUGGGCGUAAAGGGCGCGUAGGCGGUUUUUUAAGUCAGAUGUGUAAUCCCCGGGCUCAACCUGGGAACUGCAUCUGAGACUGGAAGGCUAGAGUACUGGAGAGGGUGGUGGAAUUCCUCGUGUAGCGGUGAAAUGCGUAGAGAUGAGGAGGAACACCAGUGGCGAAGGCGGCCACCUGGACAGUAACUGACGCUGAGGCGCGAAAGUGUGGGUAGCAAACAGGAUUAGAUACCCUGGUAGUCCACGCUGUAAACGAUGAACACUUGGUGUGGUGGGAGUUGACCCCUGCCGUGCCGGAGCUAACGCGUUAAGU
rnacentral:rRNA from 1 species